GUUGAACGCUGGCGGCAGGCCUAACACAUGCAAGUCGAGCGGAUGAAGGGAGCUUGCUCCUGGAUUCCGCGGCGGACGGGCGAGUAAUGCCUAGGAAUAUGCCUCGCCGUGGGGGAUAACGUCCGGAAACGGGCGCUAAUACCACACACGUCCUGAGGGAGAAAGUGGGGGAUCUUCGGACCUAAUGCUAUCUGCUGAGACUAGGUCGGAUUAGCGAGCUGGUGGGGUAAAGGCCUACCAAGGCGACGUUCCGUAUCUGGUCUGAGAGGGUGAUCAGUCACACUGGAACUGAGACACGGUCCAGACUCCUACGGGAGGCAGCAGUGGGGAAUAUUAGGCAAUGGGCGAAAGCCUGAUCCAGCCAUGCCGCGUGUGUGAAGAAGGUCUUCGGAUUGUAAAGCACUCUAAGUUGGGAGGAAGGGCAGUAAGUUAAUACCUUGCUGUUUUGACGGUACCAACAGAAUAAGCACCGGCUAACUUCGUG
rnacentral:rRNA from 1 species